rnacentral:rRNA from 1 species
CACGUAGGGCGCAAGCGUUGUCCGGAAUUAUUGGGCGUAAAGAGCUCGUAGGCGGUCUGUUGCGUCCGCUGUGAAAACUCGGGGCUUAACCCCGAGCCUGCAGUGGAUACGGGCAGACUAGAGGUAGGUAGGGGAGAAUGGAAUUCCGGGUGUAGCGGUGGAAUGCGUAGAGAUCCGGAAGAACACCGGUGGCGAAGGCGGCCCGCUGGGCGAACUGCUGACACUGAGGCGCGACAGCGUGGGGAGCAAACAGG